GCCAGCGUAGCUCAGGGGUAGAGCAACUGAUUCGUAAUUAGUAGGUCGUGAGUUCAAUUCUCACCGCUGGCUCCA
rnacentral:tRNA from 1 species